UACGGGGGGGGGCAAGCGUUGUUCGGAAUUACUGGGCGUAAAGCGCACGUAGGCGGCUUUCUAAGUCGGGGGUGAAAUCCUGGAGCUCAACUCCAGAACUGCCUUCGAUACUGGAAAGCUCGAGUCCGGGAGAGGUGAGUGGAACUGCGAGUGUAGAGGUGAAAUUCGUAGAUAUUCGCAAGAACACCAGUGGCGAAGGCGGCUCACUGGCCCGGUACUGACGCUGAGGUGCGAAAGCGUGGGGAGCAAACAGG
rnacentral:rRNA from 1 species